AUGUCUUGUGUACGUGCCUCAAAUCAUGGAGUUGGCUUUGUUGCUGAUAUCCGCCGAAUGAAUGUUGCUCUCACACGUGCCAGAAGGGCAUUAUGGGUUAUGGGGAAUGCAAAUUCGCUGGUCCAAUCUGAUGAUUGGGCUGCAUUGAUUGAUGAUGCUAAAGCAAGAAGCUGUUAUAUGGACAUGGACUCUCUCCCCAAAGAUUUUUUCGUUCCAAAGGGAAUGCAGGGGAAAACCAACAAUACAAGGGGUUCGAGGUUAGGUGGACCAAGACACAGAUCUAUGGAUAUCCACAU
rnacentral:misc_RNA from 1 species